rnacentral:rRNA from 1 species
UACGGAGGGGGCUAGCGUUGUUCGGAAUUACUGGGCGUAAAGCGUGCGCAGGCGGUUGGUUAAGUCUGAUGUGAAAGCCCCGGGCUCAACCUGGGAAUGGCAUUGGAAACUGGUCAGCUGGAGUGUGGCAGAGGGGGGUGGAAUUCCGCGUGUAGCAGUGAAAUGCGUAGAGAUGCGGAGGAACACCGAUGGCGAAGGCAGCCCCCUGGGCCAACACUGACGCUCAGGCACGAAAGCGUGGGGAGCGAACAGG